AUCUGACUUGAUCUGUCACAAAGCGCUCCGCAAUCCAGACAGGGACCGGUGUGCCGAUGAAUGAUGCCGUGCUGGCAGUGUAAUUUUGGUGGAAAGAGCGCGGACCGUGGAGUCGUGACUGCCGGAGUGAGUAAUGCGCGUUGGCUGCGUCAGGAGAGGCAGUCACUGCGCUCCGGAGACUCGGGGGGAGAAUCGUGACUGACUCGAGACGUCCGUAAAUGAAAAGACCACCCGAUCCAAUCCGCACCAGGGUGGUAUCCGGGCUGGAUUUUACACUCCUACUUCACCUCUUCCAUCCUUGUGCUUUUUUGACCCCCCCCCCCUCCUCCUCCCGUCUCCACUUGCACCAAGUUGUACAAUGUGGGGGGGUGGGGGUGCGGGGUGUGUGGGGGGGUCAGCUGAAGUGAUGGAGAGAGGUUGGUUUGGAUUCAAACGAAUGGAGAGAGAGAGGGGCUGGGGUGGGGGGAGGAGGGGGUCCAAAUAUAGAUCGUGAUCCUGUCUCUCAGCACAAUAACAUACAUGUUGAAGAGAGGGGAGCGCCGGCAUGUUGCCGCUCAUGUUUUCAUACAAACUCUCGGCCACUAAUGGGAAAGAUGGAACAAUAAGGCGCAGAUCACAAUGGCGGAGCGCGCGACGGACGCAGGGGGCCGGGGCGCGCGCCCACCUGUCCCGUUCCGUGCCCGUCCCGGGAGCCCGACUGCAGAGACGACCCUCGAACCCGGGACACCGGUCUCUUCUCACGGAAUGGUGGCACCGAGCAGAGCUCCCAGGCGCCGACAUGGGAAGCCGAGUCGGCGUGAGGCUCCGUGCGACACUCCCCUGGCCACGCCCGCUCUGCUGCCUCGGCGAACCUUCGCAUAAGAGCAGCAGUAUGAGUCGGUCCCCUUCCCCACCGGGUUGCUCGCUCCCACCUCACCUGGCUCGGUCAACGCUCCUGCACGCCUCGACCGGAGGGCCAUGA
rnacentral:lncRNA from 1 species